UUUCACCGUGCAUGAAAAUGAAAUUAAAACAGUAAAAACGAAACUGCUACAGUAAAUACGAAAAUUCACGCUGGACCUGGACAACUCUGACCUUUGCUCAAUGUUUUACCCAUAACUUUUUCUACAAAGCUCUAAAUGAGAUGAGGUUUUUUUUCCUAGAAAGUAGACUCAAUUUUCUUUCAUGUGACAUAUAAAACGUAGCAUUUGGACCUCUGGUAUGAUUGCAGUUAUUUUUUUAAAAUCGAGUCCAGAGAGUGAAAAUGCUAAACCCAAUACUAGAGCAAACAAAUAUCUAAGCACAGUUAAAACUAUCAAAUGCAAAACUAAUUUAAAGAAAGGAAAAACAACUAAACUACAAUUCAAACUAAUUUAAAGCUAAAGAAAAUAAACAACAUAUUUUUUUUCUACCAAUUCAAAUGACACAUACACCUACUAAAGUAAAUUAAAUUGAAAAUGGCUUAAAAGUUACCCUCUGGCCGUGACCUCCUCCAACCAAAAUCCCAUUCAUUCUCUUCAUUUUAAAUCCCAAAGUUUUGAGGCAUGGAAUUUGUUCCAGCCGUGACACUCUUCAAGUGGAGCUCCCAAGAGUCUCCAAGCAAAAGGAAAAGCAAGUUAAUAAAACUUUCUCCUAACAUCAUCAAAACCGUAGGGCUCCAUUCUCCAAGAAAGCAUAAUGAGAAAAGAAAUUAAAUUGAACAAUGUAUAACUUCUAGCAGCCAUCAAACGGGACAAAGCAACAACCAAGUUUCAUUUCUCAAACUAAGUCACGGUACAAGCAUUCUACCCCUGUCUUAUCACCUUUCCAAUCUUUAAAGCAAUUGAAUAAACAAAUUUCUUCUCAUGACACAAUAAAAACCUCUGCAGCAAAAUGGGAUGCGUUACUUCCGAGUGAAUGAGCUCUUCAUUCCUUAAAAGAAAGGAAAGCAAAACCGGAACUCCAUUAAACCAAAUAAAAAAUUGCAAAGUGCUCCCAAUUGAAGUUAGCGUCACACAUCUUGUUCCUCCUAUUUUUUAUUCACUAACGGAAACUCCAAGCAAAACACAACUCUGCAACCAAUUAAAAGAAAAGAGGAAAUGCUUCCUUUAUUCACCCAUAAUCAAAAACUCUGGACAUGAUUGAAAGAAAAAAUGCUCUCUCUAAGAAACGUUCCAGCCAAGAAGAUGUUUAAAAGCCAAAAUCUGAAAAAGAUGCAAGUGACGGCUGGUGCUCCCUUCUC
rnacentral:lncRNA from 1 species